rnacentral:rRNA from 1 species
CCAGAGAACUUAGCAGAGAUGCUUUGGUGCCUUCGGGAACUCUGAGACAGGUGCUGCAUGGCUGUCGUCAGCUCGUGUUGCGAAAUGUUGGGUUAAGUCCCGCAACGAGCGCAACCCUUAUCCUUUGUUGCCAGCGGCUCGGCCGGGAACUCAAAGGAGACUGCCGGUGAUAAACCGGAGGAAGGUGGGGAUGACGUCAAGUCAUCAUGGCCCUUACGGCCAGGGCUACACACGUGCUACAAUGGCGCAUACAAAGAGAAGCGACCUCGCGAGAGCAAGCGGACCUCAUAAAGUGCGUCGUAGUCCGGAUUGGAGUCUGCAACUCGACUCCAUGAAGUCGGAAUCGCUAGUAAUCGUAGAUCAGAAUGCUACGGUGAAUACGUUCCCGGGCCUUGUACACACCGCCCGUCACACCAUGGGAGUGGGUUGCAAAAGAAGUAGGUAGCUUAACCUUCGGGAGGGCGCUUACCACUUUGUGAUUCAUGACUGGGGUGAAGUCGUAACAAGGUAAGCGUAGCGAG